rnacentral:tRNA from 1 species
GGAACCGAACUGGCCGGGCCGGCGGCUUUUUUCCCUCCCCAGGGAGCCGCCUGCCCCUGCGGGUUCAACUCCCGCCGGUUCCA